GAUUUCAGCUAUGAUCUUAAUUAUUUCCUUCCUCCUACUGGUUUUGGAAUUAAUUUGUUCUUCUUUUUCAAGGCCUGUGAGGUGCAUCAUUAGGUUGUUUAUUUGGGAUUUUUCUGGUUUUCUUAUAUAGGCACUCAGCUAUAAACUUAGUUUCUCCCUUGAUUUUUUUCUAUCACCCAUUCAUCAUUCAAAAGUGUGCUGGGUAUGAUGGCACACACCUGUAAUCCCAACAACUCAGGAGGCUGAGUCAGGAGGAUCAUGACUUCAAAGCCAGCCUCAGCAACAUAGCAAGGCCCUAAGCAACUUAAUAAGACCCUGUCUCUAAAUAAAAUACAAAAAAGGACUGGGGAAGCCAGGCACAGUGGCGCACGUCUGUAAUCCCAGUAGCUUGGGAGACUGAACCAGGAGGAUCGUGAGUUCAAAGCCAGCCUCAGCAAAAGCGAGGUGCUAAGCAAGUCAAUGAGACCCUGUCUCUAAAUAAUAUAAAAUAGGGCUAGGGAUAUGGUUCAGUGGCAAAGUACCUCUGAAUUCAAUCCCCAGUAUCAAAAAUACAAAAGGACUAGGGAUGUGGUUCAGUGGCUAAGUGCCCAUGGGAUCAAUUCUCAUACAAAAAAAAGAAAAGUGUAUUGUUCGAUCUCCACGUUUGUAUAGUUUCUGUAGGGUUUUGUCAUGUUGAUUUCUAAUUUUUUUCCAUUAUGAUCUGUUAAGAUGCAUGGAAUUAAUAUCAAUUUUUUGUGUAUUUGCUAAGAAUUGCUUUGUGGCCUAAAAUAUGGUCUAUUUUGGAAAAGGUUCCAUGUGUUUCUGAGAAGAAAGUGUAUUCAGCUGCUGUUGGGUGAAAUAUUCUAUAGAUGUCUGCUAAAUACAUUUGAUAUAUUUUUCAGGACAAAGAAUUCUUAUCAAGUUUAUGUUUGGAUGACCUAUCUAACGGUGAGAGAGGUGUGUUGAAAUCACCCAAUAUUAUUGUACUGAGUUCUAUCUGGGGCUUUGAGUAGUUGCACCCAAAUCUGAAACAUAAAUAUUCAUUAUUGUUAUAUCUUCUUGUUAGAUUAUUCCUUUUUCCAGUAUCUUCCUUAUGUCUUCUGAUUAAUUUUGGCUUAAAGUCUGCUUUGUCAGAUUUGAGAGUAGCUACUCCUGCUUUAUGUGUGUGUGUGUGUUGUGUGUCUAUGUCUGUGUGGUCCAUUUGCAUGGUAUAUCAAUUUCCAUUUUUUUCAUUUUCAGCCUGUGUCUUUUUUUGCAUCUCUUCCAAACAACAUAUAGUUGGGUCUUGAUUUUUUAUCCAUUCUGACAGCCUACAUAUUUUAAUUAGAGAGUUGAGACCAUUUGCAAUCAAUGUUAUUCUAGAGAUAUGUUUAUUAAUUCCUGUUAUUUUUAUUUAUUUCUACUGUGUAAUUUAUUCCUGUUUCUAAUUUGUUUAGCUACUCUUUAAGUGAGCUUUGUUCAUUCAUGAGCUCUGGGGUUUGUUUUUUAUUUCUUUUUUGUGGAAUACUUCUUAUAAAGUUCUGUAGUUCUAGUUUACUAGUCAAAUUCUUUUAGUUUCUGCUUAUCUUUGAAGGUUUUUAUUUCCUCUUUAAUUUUGAAAGAUAACUUUGCUAUAUAUAGCAGUCUUGGUUGACACUUAUUUUCUUUCAGGACUUUGAACACAUCGUUCCACGCCCUUCUGGAUUUUAGAGUUUUUGCUGAGAAAUUGGAAGUGAUUCUGAUUGGCAUGCCUCUACAUGUGAUCCGGUGUUUUUCUCUUGAGGCUUUUACAAUUCUAUCUUUGUUCCUUAUGUUAGGCAUUUUCAUUAUAAUGUGUCAUGGAGAGUUCUUUUUUUCAUCUUGUCUACUUGGGGUUCUGAAUGCCUCCUAUAUCUGAAAGCCAAUCUCAUUCUGAAAAUUAGGAAAUUUUUAUGUUAUUGUUUCCCUGAAGAAAUAUGUCCUCCAUGUCCUCCCUCUCACAACCAUUUUCAAUUCCAAUGAUUGUUAUAUUUGGUCUCUUAAUGUUUCCCCUAAGAGUUCUUGUAUCUUUUGAACAUUACUAUUUUGAACAUUAUCUUUUGAACAUUACUAUUGUCUUUAAUGCUGAAUGUUUAGGCCAGCCACUUUUUCUUCUAGCUCUGAGAUUCUGUCUUCAGCUUGGUCUAUUAAAGUGACUUUCAACUGAACAUUUUACUUGAUUUAUUGUGUCUUUCAUUUCCAAAUUUUCUAUUUGGUUCUUUUUCAGUAUUUUUGUCUCCUUACUGAAUUUCUCAUUCAUAUCUUUUAC
rnacentral:lncRNA from 1 species